rnacentral:rRNA from 1 species
UGGGGAAUAUUGCACAAUGGGCGAAAGCCUGAUGCAGCAACGCCGCGUGAGUGAUGAAGGUCUUCGGAUUGUAAAGCUCUGUCUUUUGGGACGAUAAUGACGGUACCAAAGGAGGAAGCCACGGCUAACUACGUGCCAGCAGCCGCGGUAAUACGUAGGUGGCGAGCGUUGUCCGGAUUUACUGGGCGUAAAGGGUGCGUAGGCGGAUGUUUAAGUGAGAUGUGAAAUACCCGGCGUUAACUUGGGUGCUGCAUUUCAAACUGGAUAUCUAGAGUGCAGGAGAGGAGAAUGGAAUUCCUAGUGUAGCGGUGAAAUGCGUAGAGAUUAGGAAGAACACCAGUGGCGAAGGCGAUUCUCUGGACUGUAACUGACGCUGAGGCACGAAAGCGUGGGUAGCAAACAGGAUUAGAUACCCUGGUAGUCCACGCCGUAAACGAUGAGUACUAGGUGUAGGAGGUAUCGACCCCUUCUGUGCCGCAGUAAACACAUUUAAGUACUCCGCCUGGGAAGUACGAUCGCAAGAU